AACACUGUCUGAUGGGGCUGUGUAAUAUUACCGGUAAACCGGUAUAUACCGGUUCAGUAUCUCGCGAUACGAUUAUUGCGAUAUAGUUCAGAUUCUGCAAAAUAUUGGGUCAUCCAUUUGUAAGCUCC